UACAGAGGGGGCAAGCGUUAUUCGGAAUUAUUGGGCGUAAAGGGCGCGUAGGCGGCCUUUCAAGUGACGGGUGAAAGCCCUCGGCUUAACCGAGGAACUGCCUGUCAGACUGGAAGGCUUGAGACCGGGAGAGGUGAGUGGAAUUCCCAGUGUAGCGGUGAAAUGCGCAGAUAUCAGGAGGAACACCGAUGGCGAAGGCAGGUCUCUGGGCAUUAACUGACGCUGAGGAGCGAAAGCAUGGGGAGCGAACAGG
rnacentral:rRNA from 1 species